GAUGAACGCUGGCGGCGUGCCUAAUACAUGCAAGUCGAGCGAACAGACGAGAAGCUUGCUCCUCUGAUGUUAGCGGCGGACGGGUGAGUAACACGUGGAUAACCUACCUAUAAGACUGGGAUAACUUCGGGAAACCGGAGCUAAUACCGUAUAACAUCUUGAACCGCAUGGUUCAACCGUGAAAGACGGUCUUGCUUUCACUUAUAGAUGGAUCCGCGCCGCAUUAGCUAGUUGGUAAGGUAACGGCUUACCACGGCAACGAUGCGUAGCCGACCUGAGAGAGUGAUCGCCCACACGGGAGGAGAGACACGGUCAAGACUACUGCGGGACGCAGCAGAAGCGAAUCUUCCGCAAUAGGCGAGAGCCUGACAGAGCAAAGUCGCGUGAGUGAAGAAGGUCCUCGGAUCGUAAAACUCUGCUAUUAGGGAAGAACAAAUGUCUAAGUAACUAUGCACGUCUUGACGGUACCUAAUAAGAAAGCCACGGCUAACUACGUG
rnacentral:rRNA from 1 species